GACGAACGCUGGCGGCGUGCUUAACACAUGCAAGUCGAACGGAAAGGCCCUGCUUUUGUGGGGUGCUCGAGUGGCGAACGGGUGCGUAACACGUGAGUAACCUGCCCUUGACUUUGGGAUAACUUCAGGAAACUGGGGCUAAUACCGGAUAGGAGCCCCUGCUGCAUGGUGGGGGUUGGAAAGUUUCGGCGGUUGGGGAUGGACUCGCGGCUUAUCAGCUUGUUGGUGGGGUAGUGGCUUACCAAGGCUUUGACGGGUAGCCGGCCUGAGAGGGUGACCGGCGACAUUGGGACUGAGAUACGGCCCAGACUCCUACGUUAGGCAGCAGUGGGGAAUAUUGCACAAUGGGCGGAAGCCUGAUGCAGCAACGCCGCGUGCGGGAUGACGGCCUUCGGGUUGUAAACCGCUUUCGCCUGUGACGAAGCGUGAGUGACGGUAAUGGGUAAAGAAGCACCGGCUAACUACGUG
rnacentral:rRNA from 1 species